UAAACGGCCACACUGGGACUGAGACACGGCCCAGACUCUACGGGAGGCAGCAGUGGGGAAUCUUCCGCAAUGGACGAAAGUCUGACGGAGCAACGCCGCGUGUAUGAUGAAGGUCUUCGGAUUGUAAAGUACUGUCUUUGGGGAAGAACGAUUGUCUUGAAAAUAUUGAGACAAUAUGACGGUACCCAAGGAGGAAGCCCCGGCUAACUACGUGCCAGCAGCCGCGGUAAUACGUAGGGGGCAAGCGUUGUCCGGAAUUAUUGGGCGUAAAGGGCGCGUAGGCGGAUAUUUAAGUCCGGUGUGAAAGAUCAGGGCUCAACCCUGAGAGUGCAUCGGAAACUGGGUAUCUUGAGGACAGGAGAGGAAAGUGGAAUUCCUAGUGUAGCGGUGAAAUGCGUAGAUAUUAGGAGGAACACCAGUGGCGAAGGCGACUUUCUGGACUGUAACUGACGCUGAGGCGCGAAAGCGUGGGGAGCAAACAGGAUUAGAUACCCUGGUAGUCCACGCCGUAAACGAUGAGUGCUAGGUGUAGAGGGUAUCGACCCCUUCUGUGCCGCAGUUAACACAAUAAGCACUCCGCCUGGGGAGUACGGCCGCAA
rnacentral:rRNA from 1 species